rnacentral:rRNA from 1 species
AUUGAACGCUGGCGGCAGGCUUAACACAUGCAAGUCGAGCGGUAGCACAAGAGAGCUUGCUCUCUGGGUGACGAGCGGCGGACGGGUGAGUAAUGUCUGGGAAACUGCCUGAUGGAGGGGGAUAACUACUGGAAACGGUAGCUAAUACCGCAUAACGUCGCAAGACCAAAGAGGGGGACCUUCGGGCCUCUUGCCAUCAGAUGUGCCCAGAUGGGAUUAGCUAGUAGGUGGGGUAAUGGCUCACCUAGGCGACGAUCCCUAGCUGGUCUGAGAGGAUGACCAGCCACACUGGAACUGAGACACGGUCCAGACUCCUACGGGAGGCAGCAGUGGGGAAUAUUGCACAAUGGGCGCAAGCCUGAUGCAGCCAUGCCGCGUGUGUGAAGAAGGCCUUCGGGUUGUAAAGCACUUUCAGCGAGGAGGAAGGUGGUGAACUUAAUACGUUCAUCAAUUGACGUUACUCGCAGAAGAAGCACCGGCUAACUCCGUGCCAGCAGCCGCGGUAAUACGGAAGGUGCAAGCGUUAAUCGGAAUUACUGGGCGUAAAGCGCACGCAGGCGGUUUGUUAGUCAGAUGUGAAAUCCCCGGGCUCAACCUGGGAACUGCAUUUGAAACUGGCAAGCUAGAGUCUCGUAGAGGGGGGUAGAAUUCCAGGUGUAGCGGUGAAAUGCGUAGAGAUCUGGAGGAAUACCGGUGGCGAAGGCGGCCCCCUGGACGAAGACUGACGCUCAGGUGCGAAAGCGUGGGGAGCAAACAGGAUUAGAUACCCUGGUAGUCCACGCUGUAAACGAUGUCGAUUUGGAGGUUGUGCCCUUGAGGCGUGGCUUCCGGAGCUAACGCGUUAAAUCGACCGCCUGGGGAGUACGGCCGCAAGGUUAAAACUCAAAUGAAUUGACGGGGGCCCGCACAAGCGGUGGAGCAUGUGGCUUAAUUCGAUGCAACGCGAAGAACCUUACCUACUCUUGACAUCCAGAGAACUUUCCAGAGAUGGAUUGGUGCCUUCGGGAACUCUGAGACAGGUGCUGCAUGGCUGUCGUCAGCUCGUGUUGUGAAAUGUUGGGUUAAGUCCCGCAACGAGCGCAACCCUUAUCCCUUGUUGCCAGCGGUUCGGCCGGGAACUCAAAGGAGACUGCCAGUGAUAAACUGGAGGAAGGUGGGGAUGACGUCAAGUCAUCAUGGCCCUUACGAGUAGGGCUACACACGUGCUACAAUGGCAUAUACAAAGAGAAGCGACCUCGCGAGAGCAAGCGGACCUCAUAAAGUAUGUCGUAGUCCGGAUUGGAGUCUGCAACUCGACUCCAUGAAGUCGGAAUCGCUAGUAAUCGUAGAUCAGAAUGCUACGGUGAAUACGUUCCCGGGCGU